CGCAUGUGCAGACACAUGCCGCCACUUUGUUCUGAAGGCUGGAUUGAACGUUAUCCCCUUGUUAGUAGCUCCUUGAAUGCUGUAUCCAUAGUUCUGCAUUUUCGGAAAAUUCCAUAACAACAUGGCGACGAGGAUGGGAUAUCAUGUGCAGGGGUCAGAUAAAAGAGACUCCGUGGUUUACUGAGGACUCGCGAUCCGAGAUCCAACGAUCUUCGCCUCUACCUCGCCCAAAAAGCAUUCAGAGAGAGAGGAUCAGAAACCACCACUGAUCUAUUAAGACGGAAGCAAUUCCACGCAGCAGGUACAGAAAGACGAGUUGGAGAAACGGAGGGACGAAGAGGACACAGACUCAACUAUCGGACAGGACCGACAUCAGUCACCACUGCAGCGGGUGGAAAGACCAACGAGUACGUGAGAAAACCAUGUUUGAAGCGUUUGUCUGUAUGUUACAACAGGCUGGUGGGCAACAUAUGGAGCGCGGACCCGAAAAAGGCCGCUCCCACGAAGGACGUGGUCGAGCCAGAAGGUGCCGAGGCGGGUACCGUGGGCAAAAUAAUGAGCCCUACAACCGAGACCAGUGUUUGUACUGCAAGGACUUUGGACAUUGGGUAUGUAAUUGCCCGAAGAAAAAGCUAAAAACACCUCUGACAAAGAACAACGCUAGUCCCUCUGUUUGACGGAGUCCAAAAGCUGAUAAGGAAAGUACUGCUAAAAAACACACACACACUUGCUUCAUGCAAUGAAGAAAUGCUUGGCACUGAUGCACUGUUUUUUGUUUUUGCU